rnacentral:rRNA from 1 species
CACGUAGUUAGCCGGUACUUCUUCUGCAGGUACCGUCACUUUCGCUUCUUCCCUGCUGAAAGCGGUUUACAAUCCGAAGGCCGUCAUCCCGCACGCUGCGUCGCUGCAUCAGGGUUUCCCCCAUUGUGCAAUAUUCCCCACUGCUGCCUCCCGUAGGAGUCUGGGCCGUGUCUCAGUCCCAGUGUGGCCGGUCGCCCUCUCAGGCCGACUACCCGUCGUCGCCUUGGUAGGCCAUUACCCCCACCAACAAGCUGAUAGGCCGCGAGCCCAUCCCCGAUCGAAAAACUUUCCACUAUCCCACAUGCGUGGAACGGUCAUAUCCGGUAUUAGACCCAGUUUCCCAGGCUUAUCCCGAAAUCAGGGGCAGGUUACUCACGUGUUACUCACCCGUUCGCCACUCAUCCACCAGGUGCAAGCACCCGGCUUCAGCGUUCGACUUGCAUGUGUUAAGCACGCAGCCAGCGUUCGCCUGAGCCAGGAUCAAACUCU